rnacentral:tRNA from 1 species
ACAGGAAUAACUCAGCCGGGUUAGAGUGCAACCUUAGCAAGGUUGAAGUCGCGGGUUCAAAUCCCGCUUCCUGUU